rnacentral:rRNA from 1 species
UUCAGGAUGAACGCUAGGGGCAGGCUUAAUACAUGCAAGUCGAACGGUAACAUUGGUGCUUGCACCAGAUGACGAGUGGCGCACGGGUGCGUAACGCGUAUGCAACCUACCUUUUACUAGAGUAUAGCCCAGAGAAAUUUGGAUUAAUCCUCUAUAAUAUCUUUUAAUCUCCUGAUUUUAAGAUUAAAGUUUUAACGGUAAAAGAUGGGCAUGCGUCCUAUUAGUUUGUAGGUGAGGUAACGGCUCACCUAGACUACGAUAGGUAGGGGCCCUGAGAGGGGGAUCCCCCACACUGGUACUGAGACACGGACCAGACUCCUACGGGAGGCAGCAGUAAGGAAUAUUGGACAAUGGACGAAAGUCUGAUCCAGCCAUGCCGCGUGCAGGAUGACAGCCCUACGGGUUGUAAACUGCUUUUAUACAGGAAGAAACACUCCGACGUGUCGGAGCUUGACGGUACUGUAAGAAUAAGGAUCGGCUAACUCCGUG